GAUGAACGCUAGCUACAGGCUUAACACAUGCAAGUCGAGGGGUAGCACGGAGGAAGCUUGCUUCCUUGGGUGACGACCGGCGCACGGGUGAGUAACGCGUAUCCGACCUACCCAUAACUCGGGCACAGCCGCUCGAAAGAGUGAUUGAUUCCCGAUAUGUCCUUGGAGUAGAUUCAAUGAUGAUAGAUUUAUCGGUUAUGGAUGGGGAUGCGUAAGAUUAGGUAGUAGGCGGGGUAACGGCCCACCUAGCCGACGAUCUUUAGGGGUUCUGAGAGGAAGGUCCCCCACACUGGUACUGAGACACGGACCAGACUCCUACGGGAGGCAGCAGUGAGGAAUAUUGGUCAAUGGGCGGAAGCCUGAACCAGCCAAGUAGCGUGAAGGAUUACAGCCCUACGGGUUUUAAACUUCUUUUAUAUAAGAGUAAUGUGCACUACGUGUAGUGUAUUGCAAGUAUUAUAUGAAUAAGCAUCGGCUAACUCCGUGCCAGCAGCCGCAGUAAUAC
rnacentral:rRNA from 1 species